rnacentral:rRNA from 1 species
CCUACGGGAUGCUGCAGUAACGAAUCUUCCGCAAUGCACGAAAGUGUGACGGAGCGACGCCGCGUGUAGGACGAAGCCCUUCGGGGUGUAAACUACUGUCAGGGGAAAGAUCUACCCCAGAGGAAGGGACGGCUAACUCUGUGCCAGCAGCCGCGGUAAGACAGAGGUCCCAAGCGUUAGGCGGAAUCACUGGGCUUAAAGCGUGUGUAGGCGGAUUUGUAAGUACCUUGUGAAAUCCCACGGCUCAACCGUGGAACUGCUUGGUAUACUGCUUAUCUUGGGUCAUCUAGGGGCGAGCGGAACAAACGGUGGAGCGGUGAAAUGCGUAGAUAUCGUUUGGAACGCCAAUGGUGAAAACAGCUCGCUGGGAGUACCGACGCUGAGACACGAAAGCCAGGGGAGCGAACGGGAUUAGAUACCCUUGUAGUC